rnacentral:tRNA from 1 species
GCCCUGGUGGUACAAAUGGCUAACACACUUGGCUGCUAAACAAAAGGUUGGUGGUUGGAGUCCACCCAGAGGUG